CCUACGGGAGGCAGCAGUGGGGGAUAUUGCACAAUGGGGGAAACUCUGAUGCAGCGACGCCGCGUGGGCGAAGAAGUAUUUCGGUAUGUAAAGCCCUAUCAGCAGGGAAGAAGAAAUGACGGUACCUGAGUAAGAAGCACCGGCUAAAUACGUGCCAGCAGCCGCGGUAAUACGUAUGGUGCAAGCGUUAUCCGGAUUUACUGGGUGUAAAGGGAGCGCAGGCGGCACGGCAAGCCUGAUGUGAAAACCCGAGGCUCAACCACGGGAGUGCAUUGGAAACUGGCGGGCUGGAGUGCCGGAGAGGG
rnacentral:rRNA from 1 species